rnacentral:rRNA from 1 species
AUUGAACGCUGGCGGCAGGCCUAACACAUGCAAGUCGAGCGGAUGAGAGGAGCUUGCUCCUUGAUUCAGCGGCGGACGGGUGAGUAACGCGUGGGAAUCUGCCCAGUAGUGGGGGACAACGUCUCGAAAGGGGCGCUAAUACCGCAUACGCCCUACGGGGGAAAGGGGGGGAUCUUCGGACCUCCCGCUAUUGGAUGAGCCCGCGUCGGAUUAGCUAGUUGGUGGGGUAAAGGCCUACCAAGGCGACGAUCCGUAACUGGUCUGAGAGGAUGAUCAGUCACACUGGAACUGAGACACGGUCCAGACUCCUACGGGAGGCAGCAGUGGGGAAUAUUGGACAAUGGGCGGAAGCCUGAUCCAGCCAUGCCGCGUGUGUGAAGAAGGCCUUAGGGUUGUAAAGCACUUUCAGUGGGGAGGAAGGCCUUAGAGUUAAUACCUUUGAGGAUUGACGUUACCCACAGAAGAAGCACCGGCUAACUCCGUGCCAGCCGCCGCCGUAA